rnacentral:rRNA from 1 species
UACGUAGGGUGCAAGCGUUGUCCGGAGUUACUGGGCGUAAAGCGUGCGCAGGCGGUUUUGUAAGUCUGUCGUAAAAGCCCCGGGCUCAACCUGGGAAUUGCGAUGGAGACUGCAAGGCUUGAAUCUGGCAGAGGGGGGUAGAAUUCCACGUGUAGCAGUGAAAUGCGUAGAGAUGUGGAGGAACACCGAUGGCGAAGGCAGCCCCCUGGGUCAAGAUUGACGCUCAUGCACGAAAGCGUGGGGAGCAAACAGG